rnacentral:rRNA from 1 species
AACGAACGCUGGCGGCAUGCCUAACACAUGCAAGUCGAACGAGAUCCUUCGGGGUCUAGUGGCGCACGGGUGCGUAACGCGUGGGAAUCUGCCCUUAGGUUCGGAAUAACAGUUAGAAAUGACUGCUAAUACCGGAUGAUGACGUUAAGUCCAAAGAUUUAUCGCCUUAGGAUGAGCCCGCGUAGGAUUAGCUAGUUGGUGUGGUAAAGGCGCACCAAGGCGACGAUCCUUAGCUGGUCUGAGAGGAUGAUCAGCCACACUGGGACUGAGACACGGCCCAGACUCCUACGGGAGGCAGCAGUGGGGAAUAUUGGACAAUGGGCGCAAGCCUGAUCCAGCAAUGCCGCGUGAGUGAUGAAGGCCUUAGGGUUGUAAAGCUCUUUUACCCGGGAUGAUAAUGACAGUACCGGGAGAAUAAGCCCCGGCUAACUCCGUG